UCGACAAGAGCGCCCGUCAAGCUCUGUCCCAAAUGUAAGGUGUACAUCGAGAGGGACAAGGGAUGUGCUCGGAUGAUGUGCAGGAACUGAUGACCUCCUCCUGAUCCACUAUGACAAAGGGCCGUGCUAAAACAAACUGGGCCUCUCCAGAGCUUCAGUUGUCUGGCACCGGACACAGACUCGCUGGGAAGUAAUUGUGCACCCGAUGUCACAGAAGACCAAAACGAUCAUCAAGGACAUUACCCACCUGAGCCGCUAUCAUCCAGAAGGUGAGAUCAAAGCUGGAACCAAGAGACUGAAAAACAGCUUCCAUCUCAAGGCCAUCAGGCUUGUUGUAUAUAGGCAUACACUAGAAAUCACUGGCCACUUUAAGGAAUGGAACACUAGUCACUUUACAUAUCUGGCAAGGUUUACAU